GGGGAUGCCAGGCCUAGACAAUGAGGACAUUCGACUGUCGUGCAUGGUAGAAGUGGAGACCUUCUUAAAAAUCUCCAAAACAUAACUGCAAAAACAGUUGCUUCGCCGUAUUUCUCGGCGAACGAUUUCGCCUUCGCUUACGCCAAGGCCUAAGUCGCGCUCGCUCUAUUUUGCCCGAGGGUAGAGGCCGAGUGUCAUAUAUCGGGAUGUAGCGAGUAGAGAUGCUUCGGUUGCUCGCCAAACUUAGAAGCUGCAAUACAAUAGUAUUUUGUUUGUUAUAUAGCUGUUGUGUUAAAGAAACCUAAAACAAUCUAUACCUUGUAGACUCGCAGUCGGAACUUUGUUGCACGGCGGUUCAACUCCGCCCAUCUCCACCA
rnacentral:tmRNA from 1 species